UACGUAGGGUCCGAGCGUUGUCCGGAAUUACUGGGCGUAAAGCGCACGUAGGUGGUUUUAUAAGUCGGAUGUGAAAAGCCCCCGGGCUUAACCUGGGAAUUGCAUUUGGGGACUGCAAGGCUGGAGUACGGCAGAGGGAGGUGGAAUUCCACGUGUAGCAGUGAAAUGCGUAGAGAUGUGGAGGAACACCGAUGGCGAAGGCAGCCUCCUGGGCUAGUACUGACGCUCAUGCACGAAAGCGUGGGGAGCAAACAGG
rnacentral:rRNA from 1 species